rnacentral:rRNA from 1 species
CCUACGGGAGGCAGCAGUGGGGAAUAUUGGGCAAUGGAGGAAACUCUGACCCAGCGACGCCGCGUGCGGGAUGAAGGCCUUCGGGUUGUAAACCGCUUUCAGUAGGGAAGAAGCGAAAGUGACGGUACCUACAGAAGAAGCACCGGCUAACUAUGUGCCAGCAGCCGCGGUAAUACAUAGGGUGCAAGCGUUGUCCGGAAUUAUUGGGCGUAAAGAGCUCGUAGGUGGUUCGUCACGUCGGAUGUGAAAAUCUGGGGCUCAACCCCAGACCUGCAUUCGAUACGGGCGAUCUAGAGUGUGGUAGGGGAGACUGGAAUUCCUGGUGUAGCGGUGGAAUGCGCAGAUAUCAGGAGGAACACCAAUGGCGAAGGCAGGUCUCUGGGCCAUUGCUGACACUGAGGAGCGAAAGCGUGGGGAGCGAACAGGAUUAGAUACCCUGGUAGUCCACGCCGUAAACGGUGGGCACUAGUUGUGGGAACCUUCCACGGUUUCUGCGACGCAGCUAACGCAUUAAGUGCCCCGCCUGGGGAGUACGAUCGCAAGAUUAAACUUAAAGGAAUUGACGG